rnacentral:rRNA from 1 species
GCUCAGAUUGAACGCUGGCGGCAGGCCUAACACAUGCAAGUCGAGCGGAUGACGGGAGCUUGCUCCUUGAUUCAGCGGCGGACGGGUGAGUAAUGCCUAGGAAUCUGCCUGGUAGUGGGGGACAACGUUUCGAAAGGAACGCUAAUACCGCAUACGUCCUACGGGAGAAAGCAGGGGACCUUCGGGCCUUGCGCUAUCAGAUGAGCCUAGGUCGGAUUAGCUAGUUGGUGGGGUAAUGGCUCACCAAGGCGACGAUCCGUAACUGGUCUGAGAGGAUGAUCAGUCACACUGGAACUGAGACACGGUCCAGACUCCUACGGGAGGCAGCAGUGGGGAAUAUUGGACAAUGGGCGAAAGCCUGAUCCAGCCAUGCCGCGUGUGUGAAGAAGGUCUUCGGAUUGUAAAGCACUUUAAGUUGGGAGGAAGGGCAGUAAGYUAAUACCUUGCUGUUUUGACGUUACCGACAGAAUAAGCACCGGCUAACUCUGUGCCAGCAGCCGCGGUAAUACAGAGGGUGCAAGCGUUAAUCGGAAUUACUGGGCGUAAAGCGCGCGUAGGUGGUUUGUUAAGUUGGAUGUGAAAGCCCCGGGCUCAACCUGGGAACUGCAUCCAAAACUGGCAAGCUAGAGUACGGUAGAGGGUGGUGGAAUUUCCUGUGUAGCGGUGAAAUGCGUAGAUAUAGGAAGGAACACCAGUGGCGAAGGCGACCACCUGGACUGAUACUGACA